UACGAAGGGGGCUAGCGUUGCUCGGAAUCACUGGGCGUAAAGGGUGCGUAGGCGGGUCUUUAAGUCAGGGGUGAAAUCCUGGAGCUCAACUCCAGAACUGCCUUUGAUACUGAGGAUCUUGAGUUCGGGAGAGGUGAGUGGAACUGCGAGUGUAGAGGUGAAAUUCGUAGAUAUUCGCAAGAACACCCGUGGCUAAGGCGGCUCUCUAGUACGGUACUGACGCUGAGACGCGAAAGCGUGGGGAGCGAACAGG
rnacentral:rRNA from 1 species